UAUGAAUUAUUUAUUUGAAAAAAAGAUAAAUAUAAAUGGGUCAAGCCUACAAUUUACUGCAUACAACGUGUGCCUUCGUAGCUGCUAACAGAGAACGAAAAAAAAGGUUACAGGGGUUAGUUUUAAUUUGUCCUUUGUAACUUCUGCUACUCUUGUCUCUCGUAAACAAAAGAUUAAAUUGUUGAUUGUCAUUGGAAAAAGGUAGAAGUUAACCUUGCUAGCAGUGAAGAAUCUUGAGGUGCAGGUAAUAUAGAUGAGCAGACUACAAGCUAGGCCGUUUUAUUCCAGAAGCUGAUUGAUUUCAUAAAUGCCUCGCGCUCGUAACUCUGACAGAAAUGCUUCUAGCGCAGCCGUUGGGAAUUAUUCUUUAGCACAAGGAAGGACUAAGAGGGCCCCAGCUCCGAAGAAGGGUCAACCGGUUAAGACGGCUCAGGUACCUCAAGCUAGUCAAGUCGAGCAGGUGGUUCAUGAACAAGUGCCUCAGCCUAUGCCAACCACUAUUCCAGCUCAGGUCAUGAUGCCUCCAGAAAUGGGGGAAGCUUUUAAUGCAGUUAAAGGAGCUAUGGAUAUGUUUACAACAUUCAUGGCUAAUCAAGGGCAGAAGAGAGAUCAAACUCCGCCAAGCACAGGUAGACGAGAUUGUUCUAUUUCUUUCAGGGUUAAGGAGUUUAUUAACCUGAUCCUCCAGAGUUUUGUGGGACCAAGCCUGAGCAAGAUCCAUUGGUAUGGCCAGAGGAAGUUUAGAAAACUCUUCGUGUGAUGAAAAUAUCGGGGAAUGAUGCAGUUGAAUUGGCCUCAUAUCGACUCAAAGAUGUAGCAUAUGCUUGGUUUGAAAUGUGGGAAAAACAAAGGAGCAAAGAUGAUGACCCUCCAACUUGGGAAGAGUUUACAGAGGCUUUUAUAGCUAAUUUCAUACCAGACGAGGAUAGGGAAGCCAAUGCUACUAAGUUUGAGCUUUUGAGACAGGGGAACAUGACCGUGCAAGAGUAUUAUAUGGAGUUCAUCAAGCUUGCCAAGUAUGCUAAACAUAUGAUCCCAAAUGAGAAAGCCAAGAUUCGCAGGUUUAUCAUCGGUUUAGGUGAUCACAUUCAGGAUACCACUGCAGUUGCAGCUGUGAGCAUGGAAUAUUUUGCAUCUGUAGUAGGUUUUGCAAAGAGCUUAGAAGAAAAGAAGCAUAAGAGAAGAGCUGAAAGAGAUUAGAAUAAGAAGGCUCAAACAACAGGUGGGUUUAGCGGUCCUGUUAGUGGUGGAAAUAAAGGGUUUCUUAGUAGGGAAUUUUCAGCACCUGCUCAGUCCGCACAUCAGUCAGGUGGUAGUUUUCCUAUCAGACAUAGCCAAGGUUAUGGGAACCAAUCCCGCCAGAAUUAAAACUUCAGAACUCCAGUCCCUCAAAGUCAUAGUAGUGUUGGCCAGCUACCCAAUUAAAAGGUCACCGGUAGUACUAGUGGGAAGGGUCAUUCAGGUCAGUGCAAGAUUGGGAUGCAAGGUCAUUAUCAUUGUGGAGACAUGAGACACUUGAAGUAUAAUUGUCCUAAAUUGCCACUCAAUGCAAGCAAGGGAGCAGUUUAUUCUUCAGGUUCUACAGUUGGCACUGCUGCGAAUCCUACCCCAGCUCGCAAUCAUCAGAUUCAACCCGAACAUGGGGUAGGCAGAGGUUUAGGGUCUACUAUCCAAGGAGGGGGACAACCCCGUCUUUAUGCGGUGAUAGACCAUCGGAAUGCAGAAACAUCUUCAGCCGUAGUUACAGGUGUGCAGGUAAUAUAGACGAGCAGACUACAAGCUAAGCCGUUUUAUUCUAGAAGCUGAUUGGUGUGCUCCGCUCUUGAUCGUGGAGUUUCUCUUCUUUCAUCAACUUCAUUCACUUAUUUCUUUUUCAGUAUUCACUUUAGAGAUUAGCCAGGAAAUCUAUGUCCUGUGCAUUCCUCUUAGCACUCUAGUAGAGGCUUCAUAGACGUAUUUUUAGUUGGCUAUGGUUGAUCAUGUUACUUUGAAUUACUCUAAGAAUCAUUUGAACUGGUGUUCUAAUAAAGAUACUUGUCAUUUAUUUUA